CAGCCGCCGCGGUAAUACCGGCGGCCCGAGUGGCGGUCACUAUUAUUGGGCUUAAAACGUCCGUAGCCGGGUUGGGAAGUCCUCCGGGAAAUCUGGCCGCUUAACGGUCAGAAUGCCGGAGGAUACUCCCAGCCUAGGGAGCGGGGGAGGCCGAGGGGAUUCCCGGAGUAGGGGUGAAAUCCUAUAAUCCCGGGGGGACCACCUGUGGCGAAGGCGCUCGGCUGGAACGCGUCCGACGGUGAGGGACGAAGGCCAGGGGAGCAAACCGGAUUAGAUACCCGGGUAGUCCUGGCGGUAAACGAUGCGGACUUUGUGUCGGACAAGCUAUGAGCUUGUCCGGUGCCGGAGGGAAACCGUUAAGUCCGCCGCCUGGGGAGUACGGCCGCAAGGCUGAAACUUAAAGGAAUUGGCGGG
rnacentral:rRNA from 1 species